UACGUAGGGUGCAAGCGUUGUCCGGAAUUAUUGGGCGUAAAGAGCUCGUAGGUGGCCUGUCGCGUCGGCUGUGAAAACUCGGGGCUCAACUCCGAGCUUGCAGUCGAUACGGGCAGGCUAGAGUUCGGCAGGGGAGACUGGAAUUCCUGGUGUAGCGGUGAAAUGCGCAGAUAUCAGGAGGAACACCGGUGGCGAAGGCGGGUCUCUGGGCCACUACUGACGCUGAGAAGCGAAAGCAUGGGGAGCGAACAGG
rnacentral:rRNA from 1 species